AGAACUUAGCAGAGAUGCUUUGGUGCCUUCGGGAACUCUGAGACAGGUGCUGCAUGGCUGUCGUCAGCUCGUGUUGUGAAAUGUUGGGUUAAGUCCCGCAACGAGCGCAACCCUUAUCCUUUGUUGCCAGCGGUUAGGCCGGGAACUCAAAGGAGACUGCCAGUGAUAAACUGGAGGAAGGUGGGGAUGACGUCAAGUCAUCAUGGCCCUUACGAGUAGGGCUACACACGUGCUACAAUGGCGCAUACAAAGAGAAGCGACCUCGCGAGAGCAAGCGGACCUCAUAAAGUGCGUCGUAGUCCGGAUUGGAGUCUGCAACUCGACUCCAUGAAGUCGGAACCGCUAGUAAUCGUGGAUCAGAAUGCCACGGUGAAUACGUUCCCGGGCCUUGUACACACCGCCCGUCACACCAUGGGAGUGGGUUGCAAAAGAAGUAGGCAGCUUAACCUUCGGGAGGGCGCUUACCACUUUGUGAUUCAUGACUGGGGUGAAGUCGUAACAAGGUAGGCGUAGUGCU
rnacentral:rRNA from 1 species